rnacentral:rRNA from 1 species
GACGAACGCUGGCGGCGUGCUUAACACAUGCAAGUCGAGCGGAAAGGCCCCUUUGGGGGUACUCGAGCGGCGAACGGGUGAGUAACACGUGAGUAAUCUGCCCUUCACUUCGGGAUAGCUCCGGGAAACCGGGAUUAAUACCGGAUAUGACGCGCUCUCGCAUGGGGGUGUGUGGAAAGUUUUUUCGGUGGGGGAUGUGCUCGCGGCCUAUCAGCUUGAUGGUGGGGUAAUGGCCUACCAUGGCUUCGACGGGUAGCCGGCCUGAGAGGGUGACCGGUCACACUGGGACUGAGACACGGCCCAGACUCCUACGGGAGGCAGCAGUGGGGAAUAUUGGACAAUGGGCGGAAGCCUGAUCCAGCAACGCCGCGUGAGGGAUGACGGCCUUCGGGUUGUAAACCUCUUUCAGCACAGACGAAGCGCAAGUGACGGUAUGUGCAGAAGAAGGACCGGCCAACUACGUGCCAGCCGCCGCCGUAACAC